CAGAGUAACAGGGCAGUGAAAACCAUAGUGUCCCAUGCCUUGGGCAUCCGAUGGAAAUCACAGGCUGCCUGGAGACACCAAGUGACUUGAAAAAGGCAGCAAAGGAACUCUGGCCAAACUGUGCCAGGAAACCCACGUGAUGUGGGAUGAGCCCGUGCCACUGGCCCUGCAGUGGGUUAGAGGUGUCCCUCGGACGGGGCGUGGUUACUGCCCUGUGACAUGUUCUGUGGAAGACUUUCUACAUUCUUUUCAUGACUUAGGAGUUUAUGGAGGGGCUCCCAUCAGGGAACUGAAUACUAUCAGGUACAUCCAGGACCUGAGUUUGCUCCCAGCAGGUUGAUGUAACCCACAGAUGUGUCUUCACAGUUCCUGUCUUCCUUAGUGACAUCAAAUGUUGUCACUGAACAGCGAGAGCCCAGAGGAGCGGCUCCAGCCUCAUGGGACAGCAGGAAGUCCCUGGAGCGGUCAUGGUCCCAAUACCCACAAGCAUGAGGACCGAUCAAAGGACCGUGGGGAUGGAAACCGGUAACCGGAGGCUUCACAACUGCACCUUUGUACCCAGACCAUUUCCCAAUGCCGUUAAGCACCCCUGAUGGUCUUCCUCCAAGCGGUAGAGGUGAAGCUUGCCCUCCUGCCUCCGAAUUAAACCCUUGCUCUGCUUCAU